rnacentral:rRNA from 2 species
CACCGCGGUUAUACGAGGGGCCCAAGUUGACACUUUAUCGGCGUAAAGCGUGGUUAGGAACAACAUUAAACUAAAGCCGAACGCCUUCCAAGCUGUUAUACGCAUUUGAUGGUAAGAAGUACACCUACGAAAGUGGCUUUACAUACUCUGAAUCCACGAAAACUAUGGCA